rnacentral:rRNA from 1 species
UAAUUUUUUGUUUUUUUAUGAUUUGGUAUUGCAUACUAGUAAAAUAAUAUGUCAUAGUUUAUGAAAUAUAGAAAUAAGUUGUUUAAGAUUUGGAUUUUUUUUAUUUUUACAAAACUUAAAAUAUCCAGUUUGGUUAUUGAUAAAACGUAUUUUUAUUUCUGUUUAUUAUUUUAUAUUGUUUAAGUUGUAUUUAUAUUUUUUCAUUGUUUUUUGGUUUUUUUAUCAUUGUUGUUUUUUUAUUAUUUAGAUUUUUUGUGGUUGAAUUAUGUUUUUUUUUUAGAUUAAUUUUUUAAUCAUUUUAUAAUUUUUGCUUUAGUAAUUUUUCUUUUUUUAUUUCUAUCUUUAUUUUUUAAUUUUUGUUUUUGAACUUGAUUUGUUGUUAAAUGUUUAUUAAAAACUUAGGUUUUUUUUUAAAAUUGUCUUCUGCUCAAUGAUUUUUUUAAAUGGCAGCCUUAGCGUGAUGGCAUAAAAGUAGCGUAAGUGAUUUGUUUUUUUAGUGGUUUCAAGUAUGAAUGAAGUUUUUAACAAUUUUUUUAUUGUCUUUUUUUUUGAAUUAUUUUUUCUAUUAAAAAUUAUAGGUUUUGGUAUUACAAAGAUAAGUCUUCGGAAAUUUUUUUUAGGACUAUUACUUUUUAUUAUGUUUUAAAUUUUUCUUGGGGAUGGAUUUUAUAAAAUUUUUAUACUAUUUUUAUUUUUAUAAAUUACUCCGGAGUUAACAGGGUUGUGGACAUAUGAAUAGUUUUUAUAUUAAUAUGCUGCGCUACAUCGAUGUUGUAUAUUUUUUAGUAAGGGGGAGAGAAUUUUUUUAGUUUGAGACUGUUCUUCUUGUAUAAAAAUUGAACUUGAUAUUAGUUUAGUUCGUCGUGAGACAGAGCGGUUUAUCUUGUAUAUUUUUGUUUUUUAUUGGUUCUAGUACGAAAGGAAGGUAACGGAGGUUAAUAUUUAUGACUUUUGUGGAUUUAUGGAAUUUU